CUGUAAUUAGGGUAAUUGCGCUGCGCCCGCCUGGGGCAGCCCGGCAGGACAGGGGCAGCGGGGCCGGAGGUGGCCAGCCCGCCCUUCCGGACAGCUGGGUCGCACUCCCGGGCAGCCGCCGAGGGGGCUCCUGGGGUGAGCCGGGAGAUGGGGGCAGCGGCAGAGAGACAGACAGUCCUGGAGAACAAGCACCCACUGUGUGCUCGGAGUGCAGUUGAGGCCGCUCCCGCUGGACCCCGGCGUGUUGUCCGCGCUGCCUGACCCAGAGAAGGCGCCCAGAGCACAGACUGCAUUCUGAUCGAGCAGGAUGUAACAGACUCUACUACACAGCAGUGUACCAGGAUUUUCCCAGCAUCAAGUCUUUCCACUUCUUAUUCUUCACAACAUCCGGAGGUGGGUACUACUGGAGCUGCCUUACAGAUGAAGAGACUGAGGUUCAGAGAGGAAGAAUCGCACGCUCCAGCUCACAAGGGCUGAUAGAACCUGCUGUGUACAAGCCCUACUCCAUAUGAGAGCAGUUCCUCUGCACAAUAGCCCAGUAAAGGGCUUAAAUGACAAGAUCCAAACUCAAACCACCCAGAACUAAUACCACAGAGUCAAAGUAUGAUCGGCCUAGGGCUUUGGGGUCCAGGUCCUAUCAUGUUAACCUCCCCUUAAAGACCAGGAAACAGAGCCUCAGAAAGGUAAGCCCUGCACCAGCUCACACCACCAGCAUGAGGCAAAGCUAGUUUCUCACAGCAAGAGUACAGCUCAGGGCCAGCCAAGGGAGGUAAGAAGCGGUGUGUUCUCAGAGAGACAGACACCCACUUGAUACUGGAACCACACUAUCUGCCAGGCAUCGCCUCAUCUGACUGGGGGUCCUUCCAAAUGCUGAGUUCAAUUCCUCUGAUUAUCUGCACACAUACCGAUUCCAAACCUGUUGUCUUUGCCACCGUGCUGCAGCACCUCUGUAAAAAAUUUUUCACAGUGUAACUGGUUGUUACUGCAUGACUUUGUUAUCUCUUUGUCACAGAGACAAAGGCAGAGGGCAGAAAGGGCCCUAAACUAUUAUUAUUAUCGUCAUCAUUAAUACUGUUACUUAUUGCUAAUGCAGCAGGGUUAGCAUUGACAGUUUGAUUCAGAUUUGCAGAAAUAAAACUUUCUCCUACA